GCGGGCGUAGCUCAAUGGUAGAGCGCUUGCUUCCCAAGCAAGAUACGCGGGUUCGAUUCCCGUCGCCCGCUCCG
rnacentral:tRNA from 2 species